AAGCACCUCGUCCAACGUGAGCGGACACUCUCCUGACACAGAGAUGAAAGCUACAUACACACAAAUGAGCACGGGAUUCAGAGAAUUCAGAGAGAUGAUCCUGCUUUCAUUUGCUAACACAAGCACCAGAUUAUCACCAGAUCAGCCGAGUUCAUGUGUCUACCUGCAAUCAAAUUAAGCUGUAAAUGUAAUCUUAUUUGUGUACACUGCUUAGCAAAUCUACCUCCUAAAUAUAAACAUGGUAUAAAUACUGGAUGUACUGUUACAGCAUUUACACUGCUCAGCCAUGACGUUAAAACCACAGACGUAAUAUUAUAUGUGUAGGUUUCCUUGUGCUACCAAAAGAGCUUUGAGUUAUGAACUCCACAAAAGAUCCUUUAAGUGGUGUAAGAUCCCACAGAUGCUCCAUCAGAAGUCAACACCUGGAGCUCUUGGUCAUGUUCCUCAAGCGGUUCCUGGACAAUGUUUACAGCGUGUCAGUGAGCAUCAUCCUGCUGAAAGAGGACACUGCUGCUAUUGAAGAGGUGAACUGGGUCUGGAACAGUGUCAAAGUCACAUCCACAUUAAUGCAGGACCCAAGGUUUGCCAGCAGAACAUUGCCCAGAGCAUCGCACCACCUCCUCCGGCUCACCUUCUUCCCAAAGUGCAUCCUGGUGCCGUCUCGUCCUCAGACCCUUUGACAGGCUACAUGUUCUUCACUUCACCUCUCAGUGGUUUUAACGUUAUGGCUGGUGUAGAAACAAUAAGAUACAGUUGCCUCUGAACUUCAUGGAAAGUUUAACAGCAUCUGCUGAUUCUUACCUUCUCUCUCGAUCUCGAACACACUGAUGGCGUCCUGUGGUGUGAGGUUGCGGAACUCGCUGGCGGGAAGCGUGUGGCGUCUCUGGCGUACAGGACUCGGCACACUCAGUGGCAUCUUUAGCCCUGCCUCUGUCACCGUGCCCUCUCCCGACCCUGCUCCUGAUCCCGUUAAGAACUCCUCUAAAGAGGAACGGAUAGACACGAGCACACGUGAGUCUUAAGAGCUGUGGGUGUCAGGUGAGCUGUGUUUCUCAGAGCUAAUGCAGCUGAACGGUUUGGGUAACACGAUUAACCUCAAAACGAGACGUCCAGGCAAAGCAUUUUGGCAGAUGUCCUUAUCCAGAGCAGCUUGCAUUUGCUCAGGGACUCAAGACUGGCAGAUUGGUGUACCUGGGAUUCAAACUCAUGACCUUCCAAUCAGACCAACAGCUUCCCCACUGAGCUACCACU